UACGAGGGGGGCAAGCGUUGUUCGGAAUUAUUGGGCGUAAAGGGCGCGUAGGCGGUGCGGUAAGUCACCUGUGAAAUCUCCGGGCUUAACUCGGAGCCUGCAGGCGAAACUGCCGUGCUUGAGUGUGGGAGAGGUGCGUGGAAUUCCCGGUGUAGCGGUGGAAUGCGUAGAUAUGGGGAGGAACACCAAUGGCGAAGGCAGCUCUCUGGGACGGUACUGACGCUGAGACGCGAAAGCGUGGGGAGCGAACAGG
rnacentral:rRNA from 1 species